UACAGAGGGUGCGAGCGUUAAUCGGAAUUACUGGGCGUAAAGCGCACGUAGGUGGCGACGUAAGUCGGGUGUGAAAGCCCCGGGCUCAACCUGGGAAUUGCAUUCGAGACUGCAUUGCUGGAGUACGGAAGAGGAAGGCGGAAUUCCCGGUGUAGCGGUGAAAUGCGCAGAUAUCAGGAGGAACACCGGUGGCGAAGGCGGAUCUCUGGGCCAUUACUGACGCUGAGGAGCGAAAGCGUGGGGGAGCGAACAGG
rnacentral:rRNA from 1 species